rnacentral:rRNA from 1 species
UCAGUCGACUCCUACGGGAGGCAGCAGUGGGGAAUCUUGGACAAUGGGCGCAAGCCUGAUCCAGCCAUGCCGCGUGAGUGAAGAAGGCCCUAGGGUCGUAAACUCUUUCGCCAGGGGAUGAUAAUGACAGUACCUGGUAAAGAAACCCCGGCUAACUCCGUGCCAGCAGCCGCGGUAAUACGGAGGGGGUUAGCGUUGUUCGGAAUUACUGGGCGUAAAGCGUACGUAGGCGGAUUAGUCAGUCAGAGGUGAAAUCCCAGGGCUCAACCCUGGAACUGCCUUUGAUACUGCUAGUCUUGAGUUCGAGAGAGGUGAGUGGAAUUCCAAGUGUAGAGGUGAAAUUCGUAGAUAUUUGGAGGAACACCAGUGGCGAAGGCGGCUCACUGGCUCGAUACUGACGCUGAGGUACGAAAGUGUGGGGAGCAAACAGGAUUAGAUACCCUGGUAG